UCCGGCGCCGGUGCGGUUCCACACGCCGUCCUCGUUGGCGGCGAUGACGUGGAAGCGGUAGCGGCCGGGUGCCAGGUUGGUGUACUGGGCGCCGCGU
rnacentral:tRNA from 1 species